GCAGAGGGCAGCACCACCUUAGGGCUGGCGAGGGAGAGGCAGCAAGGCGCAUCACCCAAAUUAGAAACCUUUACCUUGAAAUUUGAACUGUUUCCAUGAGAUCGUCGUCAGAGAAUAUAAAACCGAUCCACUGCGCACAGCAACUUGGAAAAGAAAAUAUUGUCAGCUCUGCUAUCGAGGCCCCCAUGAAUGAGAUAUGUGGAAAUUGCUAAACAAUAUCACCGUAUAUUUAAUCUAAAGCCGCCUACAAUAUUAGAUUUUAGAGGCAUCUGAUGGCUUUGUCCUGUGUCAGACCUUAGAUCAUGGACUAGAGAUGCUCAGCGCCAAUGGCAUGAUAAAAACGAUCGUGAGCUGGGUGAAUUUACUGAUGAAAGGUGGUGAGUUGAUGGCCGAAGCAAGUGAAAUCUUCUUUUGAUCUACAGAACAAGUCAAGCACAGGGUCAGGUCUCUUCCUUGUUCUACCAUCAAACCAAUGUGCCUUCACCCAUUUCUGGGAUUCUCUGUAGGAGUGGAAGAGAGGUAAUUUAGUCUCUAGCCAUAGACUCAAUGAGGCCAGGAUUUCACCCACAGAUUUUUAAGGCCAGCAGGGCAUAUUGUUGGCAAUUAGCUGGACCUCACGACUAGCACAGACCACAGAAUUUUACCAGGUAAUUCUGCCAUUAAACCCAACAACCUGUGGUUGAAGGACAGCAUCGUUUUUAGAAAGAGAUCCGAUCUUGAUUGUAUGACUUCAAGUGAGGGAGAAUGUCAAAGAUGAUGGCGGGUUUUGUGACACAGACACCCAUCCACUAGAAACUGUACCAGGACCACAAAUAAUUUCAGAUAGGUGGCUAAAGACUCACAAGAGGAUGACCAUGUUUGCUCAUCUACAAUCCUGGGUGGGAUUCCAAUUGGUGAUUUAGCAGGGUAGGGCUCCAUAUUCCAUUACCAAUCCCAUAGGAGAUUUUCUUUAAAAAAUGUGGGUUGUGGUGAGAAAAGAUGGCUCCUUUUCUGACUCUU